UCCUGGUGGCUCAGAGGUUAAAGCGUCUGCCUCCAAUGCAGGAGACUCUGGUUCGAUCCCUGGGUCGGGAA
rnacentral:tRNA from 1 species